AUCUAGGUCAGUCAUAACUUUUCUUCCAAGGAGUAAGCGUCUUUUAAUUUACAGGAUCUUAAUUUCUAUAAUCACAAGACUCUCUCAGCAAGGGAUGCACCUGACACUUUUGGAAAUUCAAAAUAACACUUUCACACUGAAAAAGAAGUAGCCGUCAAUCAAACCACUUCUUUCUUCACUGUUACUGGCCACCAUUGGAAUAAAACUUAUCAUCCUGAGAUGAAUAAUCCCAAAUAUUCAACUCCAAACUCGUAGGAUUGAUUCCUGACUCCAGCAGCAUAUUCUGGGAUUUAAAUCUAGCAAAAACUGUCUGGCAGUUACUCUGACCUAGAAGGGAACAGGAGGCAAAAAGAAAACUCCCUUCCAAGGACUGCUAUCAGAACUGUUGGCUAUUUGCAGAAUUCUUAUGUCAACCGGACCAGUAAACAAGUGUUAAUAUUGCAAAGGGGAGCCAAUAUCCAGAGGGAAUUCAAUGUAGUUAGCUGAGUGGCGCAGAGCAUGGAGAUCCGAGAGGGAAUUGUGUGAACUCCUGGAAGCCAGAAGUCAGUGGCUGACAGCGAUGAAAUGGUGCUGCUUCAAAGCCGACUGGGCUGUGACCUGAACAUUGCACAUCCUUGCGCUCAGCGAGAGAGGAUCAAUGACUGUGUUUGCUGGGCUCUAGUCAUCCCUCUGGCUAAUGAAAGCUGGACUGAAAGGCAUGCUAUGGGGCCCCUGGGCAGCCUGCAGCCUGGCAUUAGCAGAGUCUGUUAUACAGCCAGGCUGGGGAGUGUACCAGGCACCAAAGCCUCCCUCACCCCACCGCCUUCCGUCUUCCAGCCCACCAACUCCCCUCUGGCUGUCUGUUUAGUGUCACUCAGUUGGGAUGGAUCCUGUUAAAGAUCUGACGCUUAGUGAGGACUCGGAGGUGUCUGGAACGCCUGCCUCUAAUCAUAAACACCACAGCUGGCAAUGAUGUGGUCGAAAAAAAAAAAUCACCUUGAUCCAGUACACAUUCUCUUUGAUGUUUCUACAGCGAGUUCACUGCCCAGAGAAAAAGUGAGGACACCAUGCACGGUAAGAGAAGCAAUCAGGAUGAAGACAGUAAUAUUAAACAGGAUGCCAAGGAAGUCAGUAGAAGCAGAGCUGACGAUACCCUCAAAGCUGUCCAUCCUCAUCACAAUGGGUGCUGAUGACCCAGGAAACGGUAUGAAGAAUGGAGUAGGAUCUACUACCAGAAGCAGAAGCAGAUUUACCAGGGACCUAAAGAGGCUUCAGCUUCAGGUCUCUCAUCUGACCAGGCCACUGGUGUUUCAGUGA
rnacentral:lncRNA from 1 species